rnacentral:rRNA from 1 species
GACGAACGCUGGCGGCGUGCCUAAUACAUGCAAGUCGAGCGGAAUGAUGAAGAAGCUUGCUUCUUCUGAUUUUAGCGGCGGACGGGUGAGUAACACGUGGGCAACCUACCUUGUAGAUUGGGAUAACUCCGGGAAACCGGGGCUAAUACCGAAUAAUCCAUUUUGCUUCAUGGCGAGAUGUUGAAAGACGGUUUCGGCUGUCACUACAAGAUGGGCCCGCGGCGCAUUAGCUAGUUGGUAGGGUAAUGGCCUACCAAGGCGACGAUGCGUAGCCGACCUGAGAGGGUGAUCGGCCACACUGGGACUGAGACACGGCCCAGACUCCUACGGGAGGCAGCAGUAAGGAAUCUUCCACAAUGGACGUAAGUCUGAUGGAGCAACGCCGCGUGAGUGAAGAAGGUUUUCGGAUACGUAAAACUCUGUUGUAAGGGAAGAACACGUACGAGAGUAACUGCUCGUACCUUGACGGUACCUUAUUAGAAAGCCACGGCUAACUACGUG